rnacentral:rRNA from 1 species
GUUGGGUAGGGGAGCGUUCUGUAAGCCUGCGAAGGUGUACUGUGAGGUAUGCUGGAGGUAUCAGAAGUGCGAAUGCUGACAUAAGUAACGAUAAUGCGGGUGAAAAACCCGCACGCCGGAAGACCAAGGGUUCCUGUCCAACGUUAAUCGGGGCAGGGUGAGUCGACCCCUAAGGCGAGGCUGAAAAGCGUAGUCGAUGGGAAACGGGUUAAUAUUCCCGUACUGGUGGUAACUGCGAUGGGGGAACGGAGAAGGCUAGGUUGUCCGGGCGACGGUCGUCCCGGUUCAAGCAUGUAGGCAGAGUGACUAGGCAAAUCCGGUCACUUAAUGCUGAGGUGUGAUGACGAACCACUAAGGUGGUGAAGCAAUUGAUGCCCUGCUUCCAGGAAAAGCCUCUAAGCUUCAGGUUACCAACAAUCGUACCCCAAACCGACACAGGUGGUCAGGUAGAGAAUACUCAGGCGCUUGAGAGAACUCGGGUGAAGGAACUAGGCAAAAUGGUGCCGUAACUUCGGGAGAAGGCACGCUGGCGGUAAGUGAAGUCCCUUGCGGACGGAGCCGAAGCCAGUCGAAGAUACCAGCUGGCUGCAACUGUUUAUUAAAAACACAGCACUGUGCAAACACGAAAGUGGACGUAUACGGUGUGACGCCUGCCCGGUGCUGGAAGGUUAAUUGAUGGGGUUAUCCUUAGGGAGAAGCUCUUGAUCGAAGCCCCAGUAAACGGCGGCCGUAACUAUAACGGUCCUAAGGUAGCGAAAUUCCUUGUCGGGUAAGUUCCGACCUGCACGAAUGGCGUAAUGAUGGCCAGGCUGUCUCCACCCGAGACUCAGUGAAAUUGAACUCGCUGUGAAGAUGCAGUGUACCCGCGGCAAGACGGAAAGACCCCGUGAACCUUUACUAUAGCUUGACACUGAACAUUGAGCCUUGAUGUGUAGGAUAGGUGGGAGACUAUGAAAUGUGGACGCCAGUCUGCAUGGAGUCAACCUUGAAAUACCACCCUUUAACGUUUGAUGUUCUAACCUAGGCCCAUAAUCUGGGUCGGGGACCGUGUCUGGUGGGUAGUUUGACUGGGGCGGUCUCCUCCUAAAGAGUAACGGAGGAGCACGAAGGUUGGCUAAGCAUGGUCGGACAUCAUGCGGUUAGUGCAAAGGCAUAAGCCAGCUUGACUGUGAGAGUGACGGCUCGAGCAGGUACGAAAGUAGGUCUUAGUGAUCCGGUGGUUCUGAAUGGAAGGGCCAUCGCUCAACGGAUAAAAGGUACUCCGGGGAUAACAGGCUGAUACCGCCCAAGAGUUCAUAUCGACGGCGGUGUUUGGCACCUCGAUGUCGGCUCAUCACAUCCUGGGGCUGAAGUAGGUCCCAAGGGUAUGGCUGUUCGCCAUUUAAAGUGGUACGCGAGCUGGGUUUAGAACGUCGUGAGACAGUUCGGUCCCUAUCUGCCGUGGGCGUUGGAAGAUUGAGAGGGGUUGCUCCUAGUACGAGAGGACCGGAGUGAACGCACCACUGGUGUUCGGGUUGUCAUGCCAAUGGCAUUGCCCGGUAGCUAAGUGCGGAAGAGAUAACCGCUGAAAGCAUCUAAGCGGGAAACUUGCCUCGAGAUGAGUCUUCCCUGUCACCUUGAGUGACCUAAAGGAACGUUUAAGACUAAGACGUUGAUAGGCUGGGUGUGUAAGCGUAGCGAUACGUUGAGCUAACCAGUACUAAUGAACCGUGAGGCUUAACCUG